rnacentral:rRNA from 1 species
UAGAAUAAUAAAAGGCUGUAUAUUAAACCAUUAGUACCGUAAAAAUGAUGGACUAGUUUCAUUUAUUAGGGAAAAGGGUAGAAGAAUUUCUAUAAAAAAAAACGAAGUGAAUUGAAGUAUCUUAUUAGCUUCAGGAAAAUAAAUCAAACGAGAUUCUAUUAGUAGUGUGAAUGAAAAUAGAUAUAGGCUUAAAGUAAAAUGGAUUAAUCUGUUUGAAUAUAGGGGAACCUUCCUCUAAGCCUUAAUAUAAUAUACAAGAAAUAGAGAAUAGUACUGUGAAGGAAGUAUGUAAAAUAGUAGUCUUAUAAGCAGCUCAAGGUAAGUUUAAUAAACAUAUGAGAGCGUACCUUUUGUAUAAUGGGUCAGCAAGUUCUAGUUAGAUGCAAGCAAGUAGUGAUUAGUGGUGAUAGAUUAAAUUUAAGAAAUUAAAUUGAAGAAACAUAAUUUUAAUACACAAAAAAGAAUCAAUUUGCCUAGAUAAUCCAAUUAUUAAGUAAUGAAUUAGUAUCUAAUUAGAGACCCGAAGAGUAGUGAUCUUACCAUGGUCAGGCUUAUAAAAGGCCGAAUGGGUUAUCGUUGUAAAGAUAUCCAAAGAACUGUGGUAAGUUAGUGAAAGACAAUCCUGACUACUAUAGCUGGUUUUCCGCGAAACAUAUGUAAGUAUGUAGUUUAAAUAACAUCAUAGCAGGUACAGAACUGUGAUCUCGGACAAUUUGUGCAUUAAUAUCCUAUUAGGGUAUAUAAUGCCUUGUGCAUAUGGGGGGGUCGUGAAGACUCUAUUCGCGAGUAUUUGCUCUCGGAAGGGCAAUGAUGAGUGUUGAACUAUCAGACAUUUAACGAUAAGGUUGUGUGUCAAAAGGGAAACAGCCCAGAACAAGUGUUUAAGGUUCCAAAGUUUUUGUUAAGUGAAAGUAAGGAAGUAUUUAAACUAUACAACCAGGAAAUAGGCUUAGAAGCGGCCAUUUUUUAAAGACCUCGUAACAGAGCACUGGUUCAAAUGGUUAAUUCGUUAACCUAAUUAGUUAAAAGCGCCGAAGAUAUAACGGAUCUAAAACAAAACACCGACACCUUGUCCAUAAUAAUUAUAUUAGGUAUAAUCCUAGUUUACUAUACUUAAAGGUUAUUUAAGUAUUAUUUAUGGGGUAGCGGAACAUUGGGUAAAUAGGUUUUAAAUAGAUAGUACUCCUUCGGUUCUAAAUAGAUAGAACUUACCUCUUUCCCAAGUGAGAGAAGGUUGGUCUUUUAUUAAUUUAUAAUAACUGACUAUACAGGAUAAUUUAUAGUUACGUCUAUUUCAUAAUUACAUUUGUAAUUUGCUCGCUAUAUAGCGGGUUACCGUACAUAUCCCAAGUGAGAAUGCUGACACGAGUAACGAAAAAGAGAACUUAGUAUUACACUACUAUGUAAAAUGUUCUCUCGCCUUAAGCUUAUGGGAAAGUUAAUCGGUCUCUAAAUUAAACCUAAAGGAUAAAAUGAUGAGGAGAUUAUAUGUGACAACAUAAAGAAAUGGAGUAAAAUGUUCUGGAAAAGCAUAUAAUAUACAAGAAAGGAGCAAUGAGGAAAUGGAGAAAUUGUUCUAGGUUAUAAACUAAAAAGAAGAUACUACUUCCUUGUAUAUACUAAAACCGUACCUAAAAACUACCACAAGUAAGCUAGUAGAGAAUACGAAGGCGUUUGAGCUAACAAUCAUUAAGGAACUCGGCAAAUUGACACCGUAACUGAGGGAGAAGGUGUGCCAUUCCUACUGAUUAAUAUCAGUUUAGGAAGAGGAGACAUAAAAUGGUGUUGCACGACUGUUUAAUUAAAACACAGCACUUUGCGUAAGAUGUAAAUCAAUGUAUAGAGUGCGCUAUCUGCCCAAUGAUGGCUGGUUAACGGAUUUACUUAGACGACUAAAAUAGGCUAGGUUUUGAAGGAACCCCCAUUUAAUGGCGGCCUUACCUAUGAGGGUCCUAAGGUAGCGAAAUACCUUGGCAUUUAAAUGAUGUCGCGCAUGAAUGAUCUCACGAUGCAACAGCUGUCUCAAUGAUUGGCUCAGUGAAACUGGAAUGGCAGUGAAGAUACUGCCUAUCUCUAGAUAGACGAGAAGACCCCAUGCAGCUUUACUGUUACUAGUUAUAGGGUAUAAUUUAACAGGUUUUAGGGAAUAAGGUAGUUGAGCGACAAAAUUGAAACACCUUUACUCUGGUUGUUAUAUCAGUAGAAUAGGUUACAUUAUUGUAACUGACGUCUGAAUGUAAUCCAUAAAAGGAGGGAGAUUAUAUCAAGCUCAGGAGACAAUGGCUAGCAGAUGGUUUAUGCGGGGCACAGAUCCCAUAAAGAGUACCUGGGAGUAUCCAAAUUUAUUUUUGUAAUAUGCUAUACGCAAAUUAUAUAGGGCUUUUAUUAAAUAAUUGCCUUGUAUAUUUUAAUUUUUUAAUUACUAUAUUUACUUUGUUAUUUUUUAUAUUUACAAUUUUUUUUUAAAAAUGGUAUCUAUAACUAAUUCAGUUAUAUUUCUAUUUAAGUUAGAACUA